AUACUUACCUGGCAGCGAAGAUACCAUGAUCAUACAGGUGGUUCUCCAAGGGCGAGGCUUAUCUAUUACACUCCGGAUGUGCUGACACCUGCAAUUUCCCCAAAUGUGGGAAACUUGACUGCACAAUUUGUAGUAGUGGGGGACUGUGUUCACGCUGUCCCCUG